AUUGAACGCUUGCGGCAGGCCUGACACAUGCAAGUCGAACGGUAACAGGAAGAAGCUUGCUUCUUUGCUGACGAGUGGCGGACGGGUGAGUAAUGUCUGGGAAACUGCCUGAUGGAGGGGAUAACUACUGGAAACGGUAGCUAAUACCGCAUAACGUCGCAAGACCAAAGAGGGGGACCUUCGGGCCUCUUGCCAUCGGAUGUGCCCAGAUGGGAUUAGCUAGUUGGUGGGGUAACGGCUCACCAAGGCGACGAUCCCUAGUUGGUCUGAGAGGAUGACCAGCCAAACUGGAACUGAGACACGGUCCAGACUCCUACGGGAGGCAGCAGUGGGGAAUAUUGCACAAUGGGCGCAAGCCUGAUGCAGCCAUGCCGCGUGUAUGAAGAAGGCCUUCGGGUUGUAAAGUACUUUCAGCGGGGAGGAAGGGAGUAAAGUUAAUACCUUUGCUCAUUGACGUUACCCGCAGAAGAAGCACCGGCUAACUCCGUGCCAGCCGCCGCGGUAA
rnacentral:rRNA from 1 species